GGGACACGUGGUAUCCUGUCUGAAUAUGGGGGGACCAUCCUCCAAGGCUAAAUACUCCUGACUGACCGAUAGUGAACCAGUACCGUGAGGGAAAGGCGAAAAGAACCCCGGCGAGGGGAGUGAAAAAGAACCUGAAACCGUGUACGUACAAGCAGUGGGAGCACGCUUAGGCGUGUGACUGCGUACCUUUUGUAUAAUGGGUCAGCGACUUAUAUUCUGUAGCAAGGUUAACCGAAUAGGGGAGCCGAAGGGAAACCGAGUCUUAACUGGGCGUUAAGUUGCAGGGUAUAGACCCGAAACCCGGUGAUCUAGCCAUGGGCAGGUUGAAGGUUGGGUAACACUAACUGGAGGACCGAACCGACUAAUGUUGAAAAAUUAGCGGAUGACUUGUGGCUGGGGGUGAAAGGCCAAUCAAACCGGGAGAUAGCUGGUUCUCCCCGAAAGCUAUUUAGGUAGCGCCUCGUGAAUUCAUCUCCGGGGGUAGAGCACUGUUUCGGCAAGGGGGUCAUCCCGACUUACCAACCCGAUGCAAACUGCGAAUACCGGAGAAUGUUAUCACGGGAGACACACGGCGGGUGCUAACGUCCGUCGUGAAGAGGGAAACAACCCAGACCGCCAGCUAAGGUCCCAAAGUCAUGGUUAAGUGGGAAACGAUGUGGGAAGGCCCAGACAGCCAGGAUGUUGGCUUAGAAGCAGCCAUCAUUUAAAGAAAGCGUAAUAGCUCACUGGUCGAGUCGGCCUGCGCGGAAGAUGUAACGGGGCUAAACCAUGCACCGAAGCUGCGGCAGCGACGCUGAUGCGUUGUUGGGUAGGGGAGCGUUCUGUAAGCCUGCGAAGGUGUGCUGUGAGGCAUGCUGGAGGUAUCAGAAGUGCGAAUGCUGACAUAAGUAACGAUAAAGCGGGUGAAAAGCCCGCUCGCCGGAAGACCAAGGGUUCCUGUCCAACGUUAAUCGGGGCAGGGUGAGUCGACCCCUAAGGCGAGGCCGAAAGGCGUAGUCGAUGGGAAACAGGUUAAUAUUCCUGUACUUGGUGUUACUGCGAAGGGGGGACGGAGAAGGCUA
rnacentral:rRNA from 1 species